UGUUAUGACUACUAAUGGAGGUGAUAUUGUAUGUUAAUGUCUUUUUGUAUGUAAUUAUGUUUGGGGUGGAUUGUUUGAUUGGAAGAAAAAUAUAGGUGGUAUGCAUGGUCGUUUAAUAACGUGUGCUAGUGGAACACUUGAGCGAAGUUCAAGUCUAAAACUAAAAUAAAAAUAUUAUGAAUUUUUUUUAAAACCAAUACAUAAAUUUGGUUUAAAAUUUUAUGUAUUAUUAAAUUUAUAGUUUAUAAUUCGAAGAGAAACCUCAAAUAUUUAUAGAUAAAACUAUUAAUUCUUAAAAUUAUUUCAUUACAUUGUUAAAUAUAUAGUCAA
rnacentral:lncRNA from 1 species